UACGUAGGCACCAAGCGUUGUCCGGAUUUAUUGGGCGUAAAGAGCUCGUAGGCGGUUCGGUAAGUCGGGUGUGAAAACUCUGGGCUCAACCCAGAGAGGCCACCCGAUACUGCCGUGACUGGAGUGCGGUAGGGGAGUGGGGAAUUCCUAGUGUAGAGGUGAAAUUCGUAGAUAUUAGGAAGAACACCAGUGGCGAAGGCGGCUCACUGGUCCGGUACUGACGCUAAGGUGCGAAAGCGUGGGGAGCAAACAGG
rnacentral:rRNA from 1 species